rnacentral:rRNA from 1 species
CAGCAGCCACGGGAAUACGGAGGGUGCAAGCGUUAAUCGGAAUUACUGGGCGUAAAGCGUGCGUAGGCGGUUCGUUAAGUCUGUUGUGAAAGCCCCGGGCUCAACCUGGGAAUGGCAAUGGAUACUGGCGAGCUAGAGUGUGUCAGAGGAUGGUGGAAUUCCCGGUGUAGCGGUGAAAUGCGUAGAGAUCGGGAGGAACAUCAGUGGCGAAGGCGGCCAUCUGGGCCAAUACUGACGCUCAUGCACGAAAGCGUGGGGAGCAAAUAGGAUUAGAUACCCCGGUAGUCCCUGUCUCUUAUAA